rnacentral:rRNA from 1 species
CCUACGGGAGGCAGCAGUGAGGAAUAUUGGUCAAUGGACGAGAGUCUGAACCAGCCAAGUAGCGUGAAGGAUGACUGCCCUAUGGGUUGUAAACUUCUUUUGUCAAGGGACAAAAUCAGGCUCGAGAGCCUGACCGAGGGUACUUGAAGAAAAAGCAUCGGCUAACUCCGUGCCAGCAGCCGCGGUAAUACGGAGGAUGCGAGCGUUAUCCGGAUUUAUUGGGUUUAAAGGGUGCGUAGGCGGACUGUUAAGUCAGCGGUAAAAGCCCGGGGCUCAACCCCGGCGAGCCGUUGAAACUGGCUGUCUUGAGAUGUCGAGAGGUAUGCGGAAUGCGCAGUGUAGCGGUGAAAUGCUUAGAUAUUGCGCAGAACUCCGAUUGCGAAGGCAGCAUACCGGCGGCGAUCUGACGCUGAGGCACGAAAGCGUGGGUAUCGAACAGGAUUAGAUACCCUUGUAGUC